CAAAUAACCCCAAGAACCUCAGAUCUUCAGUUAACUUGGCAAUGACACUAGUAGGUGCUUUAGAAAAGGGUAUGAGAGGGCGUCUGUCCUUAGACAUGCUUUAUCUCAUUUUGACUGCAACAGCUUGAGAACCAGCGCUGCUCAAAUUUAUGGACUACCCAGGCACUCUGGACAUGGAUGACUAUCCAAAAGUAGGCUAACAGUGGUAGCCUAGGACCUGUAUGACUUCUCAGAAGUGGUAAAUUCCUGAAUGCCAGUAUGUGUAAGAGUUAAUUAGAAUGGGCCUUUAUUAGCCUGAACAAUGCUGC
rnacentral:lncRNA from 12 species